rnacentral:rRNA from 1 species
UACGUAGGGACCAAGCGUUGUUCGGAUUUACUGGGCGUAAAGGGCGCGUAGGCGGUCGUGACAAGUCACUUGUGAAAUCUCCGGGCUUAACUCGGAACGGUCAAGUGAUACUGUCGUGCUAGAGUACAGAAGGGGCAACUGGAAUUCUCGGUGUAGCGGUGAAAUGCGUAGAUAUCGAGAGGAACACCUGCGGCGAAGGCGGGUUGCUGGGCUGAUACUGACGCUGAGGCGCGAAAGCUAGGGGAGCGAACGGG